AUUGAACGCUGGCGGCAUGCCUUACACAUGCAAGUCGAACGGUAACGCGGGGCAACCUGGCGACGAGUGGCGAACGGGUGAGUAAUGCAUCGGAACGUGCCCAGUAGUGGGGGAUAGCCCGGCGAAAGCCGGAUUAAUACCGCAUACGACCCACGGGUGAAAGCGGGGGACCGUAAGGCCUCGCGCUGUUGGAGCGGCCGAUGUCAGAUUAGGUAGUUGGUGGGGUAAAGGCCUACCAAGCCUUCGAUCUGUAGCUGGUCUGAGAGGACGACCAGCCACACUGGGACUGAGACACGGCCCAGACUCCUACGGGAGGCAGCAGUGGGGAAUUUUGGACAAUGGGCGCAAGCCUGAUCCAGCCAUGCCGCGUGCGGGAAGAAGGCCUCGG
rnacentral:rRNA from 1 species